rnacentral:rRNA from 1 species
ACGGGAGGCAGCAGUGGGGGAUAUUGCACAAUGGGGGAAACCCUGAUGCAGCGACGCCGCGUGAGUGAAGAAGUAUUUCGGUAUGUAAAGCUCUAUCAGCAAGGAAGAAAAUGACGGUACUUGACUAAGAAGCUCCGGCUAAAUACGUGCCAGCAGCCGCGGUAAUACGUAUGGAGCAAGCGUUAUCCGGAUUUACUGGGUGUAAAGGGAGCGUAGACGGCAAAGCAAGUCCGAAGUGAAAUCCCGGGGCUCAACCCCGGAACUGCUUUGGAAACUGUUUAGCUAGAGUGCAGGAGAGGUAAGCGGAAUUCCUAGUGUAGCGGUGAAAUGCGUAGAUAUUAGGAGGAACACCAGUGGCGAAGGCGGCUUACUGGACUGUAACUGACGUUGAGGCUCGAAAGCGUGGGGAGCAAACAGGAUUAGAUACCCUGGUA